CACAUUCUCGCCUGCCAUGAGACGUGUGAAAGACUACAUACCGAUCGAGUCUUUGCCUGAUUUGAUGCGGGCUUUGGGAUACUUUCCUUCGGAGUAUGAGGUGGAAAACAUAAUAGUUGAAGCAAAAUACAAAGUGUAUAACCGAGUGCCGUGCACUGAAAUAGACUUUGAAGAAUUCGUCAAGCUGUAUCUGAACCAUCGACCAGCUUUUGGAGAUAAUUUCAAAAAGAUCA
rnacentral:misc_RNA from 1 species